AUCAUAAGUGUUUUACUGCACUUUUUAAAAAUCAGUAUUCACCUUGUGUGCAAUGUUUGCUGACGAGUUCGCGUUUUACGCGUUCUUGGCAGCAUAAUACCAACCCUUUAUUGAAAUUUUUUGUCUGAAGAUUUUUUGAAUACAUAAUUCGAAAUA
rnacentral:misc_RNA from 1 species